ensembl:lncRNA
AGGUCUUGGACAUGUCUUGGACAUGAGACAUAUGAGCUCAUUUUAAAUAGGGUGCCAAUACUUUAUCAGUUUUAAGAAAAAAUACAGAGAAUGUUGAGUACAAGCUUAAAAUCUUCAGGCAUGUGGUGCACUACACAGCACCUGCAAGAAAAAGAGAUAAAAUAAAGUUCGAGACAGUCAGUACCCUACUGAACAUCACUGAGCCGUACUGUCCGCUAGACACGCUGGGCCAAUCAGUGAUCUGCAGUGCUUCUAGCUCCACCCACAUGCCCCAGAAAAUAAAGCCAUUCUAUUCUAUUCUAUUCUGUGAAAGCUGUUGAGUUCAAUGCUUUCGCACCUGCUUCUGCUCAAUAAGUAAGUUAUUAACCUUUCAACAGGGCACGUUGACACGACAGGAGAAAAAUACUCUGUACAGAGCCGUUUCACUUCAGUAUCCCACAGGAGUAACACCGCCUGACCCGGAUUAAUUCACCAAUAACAUUAUAUAGGAAUUAGGUGUAGAUAUACAUAAUCCAGUAAAUUAGUGUAUUAGUGGAUGAGAAUGAUAUUAAACCUAAGUAGAAAUGUAGUAUAAUCACACCACUGAGUUGCGAAGGUUGGUUCCCACGUUCCAGUUCUCCACCUGUUGCCUCCCCUCUCUCUGUCAGGGUUGGGCUUUACACACACACACACACACACACACACACCUGCUCCCAGGUGUUGUUUACCAGCACAGCAGGCUGGGAGUCGGGAUUGUCCCUGUCACGCUCAGGAACAGAACUGGGAAACUCGUGUGGAAUGUUCUCGUGCCUUAUCUCCCGACUCCCGAGCCGACGCCCAGCUCUACACUUCCUCUUCUCACUCUGAUAACAUGGAAAUUCCUCGACCAAUAAACUUCCCCUGUUCCAGAGAAAAAGAAAAGCGUGUUAAAAAGGGGCGGUGAACUCCGGCGAGGCGGUGAGAAGGCGUGAGAGAGAAUGCUGGAAAGGUCAGAGGAAACGUACAAGAGUUUUUUUCUCUUAGAAAAGCUAACAAUAAUGUGGAAAUCCUGAAGAACCUUCCAGAAACCUACAGAGAGAAAGCGAGUCACCACAACUCUCUGAGACGAAUGGUUCGAAUAUGUGGAGAUGAAAGAGGCCAGCUGUGUGGAGUUAUUGUUGGUGUCAGUAGGAAGCGCUGAUGGACCCUGCAGCAGAACAAAAGCCCUUCGGCAGCUCCAGACUCUCUGGCUCCACUCGAGAUUCUCUCCCACAAGCUGGACUCUGCAGAGCAAUUGUUUCAGCACAGAGCCCCCGCCUCUCUCUCUCUCUCUCUCUCUCUCUCUCUCUCUCUCUCUCUCUCUCGCUCUCUCUCUCUCUCUCUCUCUCUCUCUCUCCUCUCUCUUCCUCUCUCCUACAUCCACCGAUACCCUGACCUGAAACAGCCGGGUCUGAGGAUGUCACUGAAAUGAGGGAGAGGAGAUCCUACACUACCAUGGCUGGGGGCCAAUACUUGCACACCAUUAAAGCAUUCUUUAUGCUUAAUUAAGAUUUUAUCAAGAAAUGCUUCAAUGUGAAUUAAAGACUUUUUUAAAAAAAAAAAAGUUUAAAAUGUGAUAAUAAUAUUAAUUAAAAUGUUGUGUUGUAUUUUAUAUCAAGCUUGUAUUUAUAUGUUUUGUUGCAUGUGAUAUUACACCAGACGAAAGGAACAGAAUGGAUUUGGUCAUUUUUAGAGAACAUAGGCAAAUAAGUAAACACACACUUUUGAUCUUGUCCUAAAUAAAAUUCUCC